rnacentral:rRNA from 1 species
GUGCAAAGGUAGCAUAAUCAUUUGUUUCUUAAUUAGGAACUGGAAUGAAGGGUUUAAUAAAGAGUAAUUUUAUUAAGAAAGAAAAUUGAAAUUAAUUUUAGAAUAAAAAAGUUCUAAUGCCCCUGUAGGACGAUAAGACCCUAUUAAACUUUAUAUUAWCUUAGGUACUUUAACAAAAGUUCUAGAAGAAAAUAUUUUACUGGGGUGGUAAAUGAAUAAAGGAGGAGAAGAAAAUUAAGAUCCAUAUUAAUGAUAAACAGAAAAAGUUACUAUAGGGAUAACAGCAUAAUUUUUUUUAAGAGUUCUUAUCAAUGAAGAAGAUUAUGACCUCGAUGUUGAAUU